ACUCAAAUGAAUUGACGGGGGCCCGCACAAGCGGCGGAGCGUGCGGUUUAAUUCGACGCGACGCGCAGAACCUUACCCGGGCUUGACAUGUCCCUGCAUCCCCGUGAAAGCGGGUGGCCUUCGAGGGUGGGGCACAGGUGCUGCAUGGCUGUCGUCAGCUCGUGUCGUGAGAUGUUGGGUUAAGUCCCGCAACGAGCGCAACCCCCGCGGCCAGUUGUAUGAUGUUUCUGGCCGGACCGCCGGUAGCAAGCCGGAGGAAGGUGGGGAUGACGUCAAGUCAGCAUGGCCCUUACGUCCGGGGCGACACGCACGCUACAAUGGCCGGGACAGUGGGUCGCCAAGUCGUGAGGCGGAGCGAAUCCCCCAAACCUGGUCUCAGUUCGGAUCGGGGGCUGCAACUCGCCCCCGUGAAGUCGGAGUCGCUAGUAACCGCGGGUCAGCACUACCGCGGUGAAUACGUUCCCGGGCCUUGCACACACCGCCCGU
rnacentral:rRNA from 1 species